GUCAUCCAGCAUCCUGGGGACAGAGAAGCAAGGCACUUGUCAGCAAGUGGCACGUCCCUUCGGGAUUUCUCAGCACACUCGUGCACACUGAUCAAAACAGUGAUGUGAUUGGUGUAUCACACCUUGGCAGAGGAAAUAAACACGGCCUGGUCUCCUGAAAGCACCCAAGGAGGGGAAAAGUCCUGCUGAAGCAGCAGCUCUGCUUUAGUGGAAAGCGGGAAGUCAUUUGGGGCUCCUGUCGGACUGAUCCCCCCCUGUGUGUUCGUGGCUGAGCUCUACUACCCUGCAAGCGACUCUAAUGGAUCUGAAAGCCUUCCUGAAGCCGUGCUUGGUCAGUGCCAAGAGCCCAUUUGAAGAGGAACAAGUAUGUCCAGAAUCAAGGCUACCUGUUCCUCUGGCAUACCGUUCAGUUGCCAGCAUCCAAGAUUACAUUUGCUACCUGCUCUACAACCCGGAGGGAGGAGCUUGUGCAAAGGCAGCAGAGAGGUGGCUUUCCAGCUGAGUAAAUCUGGUCCCUGGAAGGGGUAUAAGAUGAGGGACAGACGCUGGAGAAUGAACACGGCCCACAGGUGAGGAGCUGCACCCUGCAGUGCUACGAAUGGGUUAGGGAGCUCUGCCCACCAGCAUGGAGGCAAGACCGACUCCUAAUGAGACCCUCUUGCAGCUUCAGGUCGUGGGCAGGAGGGGACGACUGAGUAUUUGUGAGGAGCAGCAAGACAAUGACCAGGCUGCUCUGGCAGGCUGAAAACAAGAUGGUCUCUAUGGCUCGUCUACACUACAAGGUUCAAGGAGGGGUGACGAAAGCUGACGGACCGACCGUGCGGGAAGCCAGCAGGACAUCUGGCUUUGUCUGCCCCCAGACACUGAGCAAGCUCCUGGUUCUCUCCACUUCAUGGCAAGCACAGCUACCGCUUAUUUAACGCAGUGUGCUAGUUUUGCUGCAGCUGCAGCUGCAAUAGAAAGGCCUCUGCUUGCCAGCCUGAGCCUGUGAGGGUCAGGUCGCCACUAGCAAGCCUCUCCAACAGAGGCAUGCUGGAAAAGCUGCUGCAGCCCAGCACAAGCCUCGUGGUCUGCAAGGAAGGCGAGAGGCUGGGGAAGGAAGAGGAAGACGGCAAGGGGAAGUCAGUUUUCCUGACCAGAUGUUGACGUGUGAGCUGGGCCAUAUGGUCUCCCGCAGCUAGCAGGAACUUUGUGCAAAAAAAAAAAGAAGCAGCAAAACGCAGAGACGGCUAGAGACUUGUUUGAGCAAGGGUGUAAGGGACUUUGCUUCUUCAGGUGUUUGCCAAGCACAUCAAUUAACCCCGUAACAAGCUCAGGAAUGAGCUCUGUGCUUCUCAGUAGCCUGUUGCAGUUUGUCAUUCUUGCCACAAGUGGUAAAAUUGAUGCAGCCAGAUAAGUUAAUUGCACAAAGUGCACACCAACUUUUACUGAGGCAGCUCUGGAAGUCAGCUUUGAGAUCUCCUUACAGCAUCCCCGUCAGCUGGGGAGAAGCACAAGCUGCAUCUAUUUCUAUCCCUUAGAUUACAAGUGCAGACAACCUGAGACUUCUUGAGCUUCUUCCAUCUUCUUACAUGGCUAACUAUUACAAGAGGCAGCUGUGUGAAAGGAUAUUGCAGCAUCUUGGCUCCUAAAUACAGCAGAGCACAGGAUUACAUUCACUGACAUGGAUUCUGAGUCUGUUCCCCCUGAGGAGGAGGAGGGAGAUUCCCCUUUCUGUGGGAUGAUGCAACACUGACGGUUGUACACAACCAGAUCUGAAGAGAGAGACAGAUGGCGAGUGCUGACUUACUGCUUUGAGAGACAGGCUUGGAAGAGGGUGGCAGCAAUGUGCCUGCGAGAACCAGCUCUUUCAGGUCAGCAAAACAGACACGGUUCAAACAGACAGCUUCGCUGCAGCAUGCAAGCUCCUUCCCAGAACAAAGGUUUUUAAGGGGAUGAACUACAGACAGGACAUAUAUUGUGAUUACAGCUCUUACACAGUUUUGAUCAAUGCUAUACGCUCCACCUUAUGAUGUGGGGCCGUGGAGUAAGUCAAAAUGGAAGUUUCACCUAACACAUACCUUAAGACAACAGCUACUAGAGCUGAUAAAUCCUCCUCGCUCCUUAAAGUACCAAACAGCCACUGCAUUCACUUAACUUGCCUGUU